rnacentral:piRNA from 1 species
UGUGGAUCUCUCAGGCAGGCAGCCUUGGU